AUGUACAGAACUAGGAAAGUACGUGCCGUACACCGGAAGAGCAGAUGGUGGCGCUGGCACGGUGGCGCGUGGCCGGCUGCAAGACCUUGUCGGACGUGUGCUGUGUGCAAGACCCUUUGGCAUAUCGUUGGGCCGAUGAUACUGACCGGGAUCUUUCAGUUCCUCAUCGGCUUCGUCACCGUCGCCUUCGCUAGCCACAUCGGCAAGGUCGAGCACACGGCCAUCUUCAUUGUCAACAGCAUCGUCGAAGGCCUCGUCUUUGGGUUCCUCGUGUUCCGCAUGGAGUUGACUAUUGUCAUCGGAGAUCUCGGUGGUGGCGGGGUGGUACGUGCGCUCAUGUCACUCAUCUCCGGCGGCGGCUGCACCUAA
rnacentral:rRNA from 1 species